AUGGAUUAGAUACCCAUUUAUUAACCGACGCAAAACUUUUGCUUCCGUAGGCAGCUGCUUGGGGACUACGAGCGUGUGCUUAAAACUCAAAGAACUUGGCGGCUUGUUAACUGCCUAGGGGAAUAUGCGCCUUAAUCCGAUGAUCCCCGUCGAAUCUUACCGUGCCUUGAAAGAGUGCAGCUGGUGUAUUGCCGUUGUCAGUUUGUCGUUCGAGCGAACAGGAACAGGCCCAAUGGAGCUUCAAUGAUUAGUUCGUUAGUGUCCGUGAAUUCAGGUCGAAAUACCGCCUAUGGCACGAGGGAGUGGGUGUUACAAUUUAUAUUUAAACUUCGGAUCCCUGUGAAUUUGAAACAUCAGGGUGAAGGUGAACUUAGAAGUAAGGGGGAAUUAAUAUGUCUCCCUGAAUGUGAGUCUAGCAAGAGUACAAACUGCCCGUCGCUCU
rnacentral:rRNA from 1 species